rnacentral:lncRNA from 1 species
CGAAGCUAGCUGGCUCACGCAGCUCUCUGCAGACCAGGCUUGGGCGUUAUCUCAGAGGCCGAAUGCUCUCAGGGGCAUGCGAGUUUUAUGAAGAGCACAUUUCCUGCAGACAGCAGGCCGGCUUCCUUCCUCAUGGGAGGCCCAGAAGGAUUUCUCCAGAAGGAAGAAGCAGAGCAUAUACGCGGGGAAGCUCAACUUUCUCCCCGUGGUGCAGAUGUGCACGUGUCCGGGCCCCUCCACCUCCCACGGGGCCCGGGCCCAGGAGUGACG